GACGAACGCUGGCGGCGUGCUUAACACAUGCAAGUCGAACGAAGUGGCGAACGGGUUAGUAACGCGUAAUCAACCUGCCCUUCAGAGGGGGCCAACAGUUGGAAACGACUGCUAAUACCGCAUACUUAAGGAGGGUAUUGCGUCUGAUUAGCUAGUUGGAGGGGUAACGGCCCACCAAGGCGAUGAUCAGUAGCCUGUAUGAGAGGAUGAAAGGCCAAAUUGGGACGGGGAAAAGGCCCAGACCACUACGGGAGGCAGCAGUGGGGAAGCUUCCGCAAUGGACGAAAGUAUGACGGCGCAACGCCGCGUGAGGGAUGACGGCCUUUGGGUUGUAAAGCGCUGUUAAUCGGGACGCGGUACCGGAAUAGAAAGCCACGGCUAACUACGUGCCAGCAGCCGCGGUAAUUC
rnacentral:rRNA from 1 species